rnacentral:lncRNA from 1 species
CGAUCUCUCUCGAUCGCUCAUCAUUUGAAAUUUGAUAGUUAAAGGUAAAAAAGAUGCGAUUUUCGUGUUUUCCUUUUCAAACUUUAAUGAUUUUUGCUGCUUUAACGACCGGAUUCUCCCUCGCGAUGGCUUCUCGACCGGCGGUUUUGUAGUCAUAGCUACAAUCAUGACGAUCGGAGUAUCGAUGUUCACCGCAGAACAAUUCGCCGCAUCGGCAUCGGAAUCCGGUCAAUCCUACCUUCCUCCUGCAACCGGAGCAACGGUUCACCUCUCUCUUAGCUGGCGGUAAGCUGUCCUUCAGCUGAUCAUCCUCUUGCUUUACUUUCUUCAGAUCUUGACUCAUCCUUUCCAGAUCGGACGACUUCCUGUCCGACGAUGACCUCAACGAGCUAAAUCUAGGAGAUUUUUCUGAUCUGGUUAAUUUUUCGGCGAAUUUUUGGGGAAUAGUCACGGCGGAUCCCGUCGGUGAGCUGGAGGAAGUUGAGGUAGCAGCGGUGGUUGCGUUGAAGCACUUUUGACACAUAUUGUUUGUUGCUGGAUUUCCGGUGACUCCACAAUUGUUGAUGCAAAGCGUUAUUGUUUCAGGUACUGCCUUGAACUCCGUCUCUUCUUUCUCCGUUCUCUGAGCCAUUUUUUUCUCUGUGUAAAAAUUAAAUUAUUAGAGAAUUCGAUUGCAAAUGAAGAAAGAGAAAAUAUGAAAUUUGAGGAGAGAGAGAGGAAUUUGUGGUUUGGUUUGGAAGAUGAAAUGGGAAAGAGGCGAAGGGGAAAUGGAGGUUUUAAGGAGGAGAGAGGUCGGUAAUGGCGAUGGAAUAAUGGCCUCAUUGGAUACGCGUAUCAGGCAAAUUGUGGGGUGAGGUGAUUGAUUGACGAUAAUGCCCCUAUGGAUUUUGGUUUUAUUUUGUUUCACAUUUAAUGUUCGAUAUCUGCAUUAAAACGUGACUAUACAUUAAAACUCGAUUAAUUCAAAUUUAUAUAAAACAAUCCCACUAUAAAAAGGAAAAACUAAGAUAUUCCCAAAAGCGACUACAUGUUCCGUAUCCAAACUUGAACUCUAUAAUUAAAGAUGAAAAAAUAUUUUUCAUACCACUGUAACUUAGUCGUCAUUUGAUCAUAAAAAUAAUAAUUUUUUGAAUUAAAGUUGGAAUUGAAAUUGAAGUUGGUGUUGUGCAUGAUUAUGGAUAUAAAUUAAAAUUGUUUUUGAAAUUUUGUGACCAAAAUAGGAGUGAAAAUAUGUAGAGUUGUUUUUGAAAUUUUAUAAGGUAAAUAAAGAUGAAAAUAAGUAAAAUUUUGUGACCAAAAUAGAAGUGAAAAAUAUGUAGAGUUGUUUUUAAAAUUUUAUGAGGUAAAUAAAGGUGAAAAUAAGUUAAAAAAAUCAUUUUUUAAAAAUAAUUUUUAUUGAACCAAUUUUUAUGAUCGAGCAUUAUUAUUUUUAUUUUUUAAUAAAAUAAAAUAAUUUUGAAAACAAUAAAAAAUAUAUUUUUUAUUAAAACUAAAAUAAUUUUAAUUUUUUUUAAAAAAAAUUUCAUGAUCAAAUGUUAGAUUAUGUCGGGGUUAAUAAUGGGGUAUUUUGGUGGUCGAAGGGAUGUGGUUCUAGAUUAGGUCUGACGUGUUAUUUACUUAAUCGUCACUUUUAGAGGAUUUUUCUUUAUUAAAAAAGUAACAAUAGUUUUUUUUUGGUGUUUUGGUGACCUCUUUAUAAUUAAAAUAUAGAGGAUAUUUUAUACAGGCUGGAUAAGGUAUGGAAAAUGACUCUUUUUUCUUAGAGGACAGCUUGUUAAUUUGUAUUUAUGUUUUUUGACACAAUUUUCAAGCUUGGAACUACCCCCUGUCCAUCCCUCCCAUGAUCCAUCGCUCACAAUUUGAAGUAAAUGUAAAUAUGCAACAUGUAUAUUCUUUUCCACUCGUCCCGUCCCCUUCGAAGUUAUGUGACCCUAUUUAAUUAUUCAUUUCAUAUUACUUGAUUGCGAGAUAUAAGAUAUAAUAAUUUUAAGAUAAAAUAUAAAAUUAUUUUAUUUUAUAUUUUAUUAGAGGUAUUAGUUAGUCUGAAUUUAUUUAUCUCACUAUUUAUAUCUUCAUGAUGAAAUAAGUUAUUCCAUAUAUAUGAUGGGAUAGCUAAUUCAGAAUAACUUGUUCCCAACCAAACAACCCCUUAUUGAUUUAGCAAAUCUCCUAUAAAAGUUUUAGUUAUUAAAUCCUUCUACUCAUUUAUGUCAUGUUUCGAGUUAUAUAAUGCUAUUUAAUUACUUUAUUCGUUUCGUAUUACUUGAUCCUUGUUGAUUUAACAUAUAUGUUAUAAAAGUUUCAGAUAAAUAUAUAUUUUAUUAAAUUAAUAUUAUUAAUAAUAUUUUAAAACUCAAAAAUUAACUACUACUAUCAAAGGUAAAAAGAUUAAAAACUAUCGUUGAAUUUUCUUUAUAUCAUAAAUUUAACGAGUAAAUUGAAAUAAUUAGUUUUAAUUGAUAUGGAGGGAGUACGUAGUUAAUAGAUUUAAAAGAAAAAAUAACACAAAUCUUAAAACUUGCAUGUUGUUAUCGAUAGUGCUUUUGUUGUUAGAAUCUUUAAUAUUUUUUAUCGUAAUUGCUUUUAUUGUUAGAAUCUUUAAUCUUUUUUAGUUGAAAAAAUAUAUUGAUUGAGUAGCGAAUAAGAUUAAUAGAUCAAUUUUAUGGAAGACUUUUCUCAUUAUUGUUCGCGUUCAAGAAAUGAAAUAGUAUUAGAUAAAGUAAUAGUCUUUGAGUUUCUCAUUUCCAUGACAGCAUGAGUUAAUUGUUACAUAAUUGUUCCUACUGGCCCAUUUUCAGCGUCUUUUACUAUUUUGAUGCAAUCAUUAAAAAAUAACUUCGCUAAAUUGUCCUUAAUCUUUCCUCAAUUAUGAAAAAAAAAAGAAGAAAUUAUUGGAGCAAGGUUUUAUUUAGAAAAAUAAAUUAUUUUUUUUUUAUUUCUUAAAAUGAUAUAAUUGUGAACCAAAUUUAAAAGGCUAAACGAUCACUUAAAAUAAGUCGGAGGGAGUUUUGUUGACAGGAUACAAGUGUUUUAAUGCACAACAACUUUCACACAAUUAUUUAGAUCUUUCACCUAUAUAUCAAUAUUUUCUUUCAAAGCCUUUGUUGAAAUUUAUAUAGGGAAUGAUUUCUCGUGUCACAACGGUUUUUGCAUACCAAGUAAGUAGUUGUUUUUCUUUUUAGCUUUCUACUAUGGUCAUUGGUACUUCGUCUUAUGACAUAAGUGAGGAAAUAAAAUCUCUGCAGACUAGGUUCAUUUGAGAAAUAAAAUCCCUAUGAUGUGUUCAAGCUUCUUGUUUCUUGAUUUAAGGAGUUCGAGUUAUAUGUUCCUACAAAAAGAAAAAAGAAAAAAAAAAGGAGAGUUCCUUCUCAAGCUUUAAUCAUUGCAUAAACGGAGCUAUAACUUGAAAUUGUACUAAUUUUUUGUUAAAAUUAUUGAGUUCUAAUUAACAUUUGUAUAUAUUUACCAGGUGUGAUAUGACCCGUCCUGACGUGAAGAAUAUUUUUAGAUUAAUUAUUAUGAUUUACAUACUUUUAACGUAAUUUUUAAAAUAAUAUAUAUUACACUCUCUGUCUAAUUUUGUGUGGUAUGGAUACAAUUUUGAGAGUUAACUAAUUUUUUUAUAUAUUUUUUAAAAAUAUUUUAAAUUAUUAAUUAUUGUGAUUUAUAGUAUUUUUUUUCUUCGAUCCCAAUUUACGUGACAGUAAUAAAAUUUAGCGAGUCAACUAAAUUUUUUUACAUCCUUUUAAUUAUUUUAUGUUGCCAAUUAUUAUGAUUUAUAAUACUUGUACGUAAUUUUCAAAUAUAUAACAGGUUAAAAAGAAACAUAAAAUAAAGAAAUAUAGAAGAAAAUAUUUAAGCAGACAACACAAACAAUUAUGUUGAUCUGCUAUCUGUUUAUCAUCCUUUAUAAGUGAGCUAAUAAAUCACAUACAUCAAUUUAAGUGAUACAACGCUUAGAUGGCCAUAACAAUUAAUUAAAUGUGAUUUAGUAAAAUCACGAUUGACGCAGCGAAGCAAACAUGAUUCAAAUGACUUACAACAACUAAUUAGAAAUUUGUGAAACAAAUUUAAGUGAGUCUCAUAUAAGACAUCAAGUUAAUUUAAAAUGUGAAGAGUUAAUAUAUCAUUUUAUGUCUGUAUUACCCAUUUAUUAAAUGGGUGAAAAUCGUUCCCCCGCCGAAGUUUGUUUUAAAAAUCAACCUCCCUCGAACUAUCAACAAUAAUCAACCUCCCUCUUUUGUCCCAUGCAAUGUCCAUUCUAUCCCUGUAAUUUUAAUUCUAUAUUUAUGUAAUAUCUUUUUAUAUUAUAUGUAAUGAAUAUUUUUUUAACAUGAAUAUUUAUAGUAUCUUAUUUAAGUUAAUUAAUUUUAUAAGCAAAUUAAUACUUUUUAUAAAUUUAUCACAAAAUUCAAUGUUAUUUUUUAAGAUCGCUAUUUUAGUAUUAUAUUUAUUAAAGAGUCGUUUGGUGUGAGAUAUAAUUAUAAUAAUUCAGAGAUAAAAUUCAUGAUUAUUUAUCCUGCUUUUAAUUAUAUGUAUUAGGGAGUGGCAAAAUUAUUUAUCGCACCAUUUAUACCACAGUGAUGAGAUAAAUUAUCACACAUACAUGUUAGUACAACUUAUUUUGUAAUAACUAAUCCCGAAAUAACUUGUUUCUAAACAACCCACCCCUAAAUGUGUAUAUAUACAUAUGUAUGUACAUGUAUGUGCGUAUAUUUUCGCGUUUUAUGACUCUCUUACUAAAUUCGUUUCGUAUUACUUAACUUUUUGUUGAUAUAACACAAUCCUUAAGAAAAUUUUACUUAUAGGUAUAUUUUGCUAAAUUAACCUUAUUAAUAAUAAUUUGAAUCUUUAAAUUUGUCUAUACUGUUACUUUAUAUAGUUAUUUAACACUAAAUGGUAGAAAAAAGUAUAAUACAAUUCUUUUGAUUUCACAAAUUGAACAGAUAAAUUAAAACUUCUAUUUUUAGUAUGAGGAUCAAGUGAUAAGAAACGAUAUUAUCUAUUGUUUAUAUCAGUAAAUAAGAUGUGAUUGUCAUUAAUAGAGUAUUACAUAUUUUAUAAUUUAUUUAAAUAAUAUAAUCUUUAAAAUUUGGCCUUAUUUUUAUUCAAGAAAAACAUCCAGUACCCUCGAACUAUGACAAAAUUUGCUACGACACACGUCAACUUCACGAGGGUCCUAUUACCCCUUAUCAAUCUUUUUAGCUAACGGUGAUACCCUUUGUCAAUCAUUUUAGAUGACGUAACACCUUUGACGUGGGCUCUAUUUUAUGUAAUAAAGGUUUUACUAAAGGCUUAUCUCUUUUAUUUAUUGUUUGUAUUUUUUGCAUUGAAAUAUGUUUAUAAAAUUAGUAUUACUUAUUAUUUUCACUUGUAAAAUAACUAUUAUAGUUUUGAUUAUUAUUAAUAAAACUAAUUUUCUUAUAUCAUGCUAAUUUACUUCAUAAAGAUCAUCAUUAGCUUAUAUACUUAAUUAGUAUUUUUUUCCCCUAGAAGAUAAUGUUUAUGUUUUUAUGAAGAUUUGUUAUAUGAUUUUUUUUUUUAAUGAAGAUAAUGUUUAUGUUUUUAUGUAAUGUCCAUAAACAUUUAUCAUAUUAUAAGGACAAAAUGGACAUUGCAUGAGAUAAAGAGGGGAGGUUGAUUAUUGUUGAUAGUUCGGGGGAGGUUGAUUUUUAAGACAAACUUCGGGAGGGAAAACGAUUUCCACCCUUUAUUAAAUAUUGUUAAUUUUUUAAUAUUAGAUGACUUAUAAUAAUUAAUUAGGGGAGAUAUUUAGUAAAAAGUAAUAUAGCAAAAUUACUAUAAAAAAUAUUUUUGAAUUUUUUUUAAGUGAGUCUCAUAUAAGACGUCAAGUUAAUUUUAAAUAUCAAGAGCUAAUUUAUCAUUUUAUGCCUGCAUUACUUUUCUUUAUUAAAUAUUAUUAGUAUUUUAAUACUUAGAUAACUUAUAAUAAUUAAUUUGGGGAGAUAUUUAGUAAAAAGUGAUAUGUGAAAAAAAUUUAUGUGGGUCUCAUAGAGGACAUCAAGUUAAUUUAAAACAUUAAGCGUUAAUUUAUCAUUUUAUAUCUAUUUUGCCUUUUUUUAUCAAAUAUUAUUACUUUUUAAUACUUAGAUGACUUAUAAUAAUUAAUUAGUGGUAAUAUUUAGUAAAAUUAUAAUUGAAGCAGCUAAAGUAGACAUGUUAUAAAUGUCUAUUUUACCUUUUUUUAUAAAAUAUUAUUAUUUUUUAAAAUAUAAAUGACUUAUAAUAAUUAAUUAUGUGUGAUAUAGUAAAAUCACAGAGCAAGCAGCCUGCUCAAUUAAAAUAUCAAGAAUUAAUUUAUCAUUUUAUGUCUAUAUUAUUUUUUAUUAAAUAUUAUUAAUUUUUUAGUACUUACAUGACUUAUAAUAAUUAAUUUGGGGAGAUAUUUAGUAAAAAGUGAUAUAACAAAGUUAUAAAAAAUAUUUAUGAAAAAAAAUUAAGUGAGUCUCAUAUAAGACGUCAAGUUAAUUUAAAACAUCAAGAGUUAAUUUAUUAUUUUAUAUUUAUUUUAAUUUUUUUUAUUAAAUAUUAUUAUUUUUAAAUAUUUAGAUGACUUAUAAUAAUUAAUUAGUGAUGAUAUUUAGUAAAAUUAUAAUUGAAGUAAUUGAAAGAGACAUGUCAUAAAUGUCUAUUUUAUUUUUUAUAUUAAAUAGUAAUAUCUUUUUAAAUAUAUAAAUAACUUAUAAUAAUUAUAUAAUAAUUAAUUAGAAAUGAUAUAGUAAAAUCACAAAGCAAUUAAUCUGCUGCAUAAGCACGUUGAAAUUAUAGCUCAUUUCUAAUACAGUAGUAAUUAAUAAAGUUUUAAAAUAAAUGCGUACAUAAUUAAAAUUAAAAUUAUAGAAUUCAAAUAAAUACGUAGCUAAUACUCUGGUUUCAGUCUACCUUUUUGAAAGCUCGUUUUCCAACCUUGCUUAUUAGUCUAAGUAGAAGCAUGUCAUAAAUACUCAUAUGGCCCCAUCAACCAGCAGUGCUAAAUAGAUUUCAGCACUCCAUAUAUGCUUAGAACGUAUUUAAAGAGUUUGAUCUAUACACUAUAUUUCAAAAUACUAGUUCCAAAUUCUUACGUGAGAAUGUCAUCUUUAAGAAUAGCCUAAUAGACACUUGUGCAUUCAUAUAAAAUUGUGGUCACAGUCUUCUAACAUCACAAGAUUUCAUCUGCACCUCACUUCGAGCGAACUAUCUGUUUUAAACACUAUUUUUGAUGUUGAUGCUGUAUCACUCGCUUGCUUUGAUAUGAAUAACACAUCAUAUUCUUUUUAUGGUUUUCCAUUCGGUGUCCGAUGCUCGCAUUGGAGUCUCAACUAAUCCGAAUCACGCGUUGCAGGAUCCAUUGAGGCGACAGCGCUUCCAACAAAGUUUUCUCUGUACCUAGGGUUGAACCCUCGACCUCUGAUUAAAGGUGAAACAGCCCUAUCUACUGCACCACAACUCAUGUUGGUAACACAUCAUAUUCAUGUUAGAUAAAUUUAUUCACAUUAUCAUCUUCUUUGCUAACACCUCUCCCCUCAAAUCAUUCCACGUGAAUGUCUUUUUCCAUUAGAG